GCUGUCUCCACCCGAGACUCAGUGAAAUUGAACUCGCUGUGAAGAUGCAGUGUACCCGCGGCAAGACGGAAAGACCCCGUGAACCUUUACUAUAGCUUGACACUGAACAUUGAGCCUUGAUGUGUAGGAUAGGUGGGAGGCUUUGAAGUGUGGACGCCAGUCUGCAUGGAGCCGGCCUUGAAAUACCACCCUUUAAUGUUUGAUGUUCUAACGUUGACCCGUGAUCCGGGUUGCGGACAGUGUCUGGUGGGUAGUUUGACUGGGGCGGUCUCCUCCUAAAGAGUAACGGAGGAGCACGAAGGUUGGCUAAUCCUGGUCGGACAUCAGGAGGUUAGUGCAAUGGCAUAAGCCAGCUUGACUGCGAGCGUGACGGCGCGAGCAGGUGCGAAAGCAGGUCAUAGUGAUCCGGUGGUUCUGAAUGGAAGGGCCAUCGCUCAACGGAUAAAAGGUACUCCGGGGAUAACAGGCUGAUACCGCCCAAGAGUUCAUAUCGACGGCGGUGUUUGGCACCUCGAUGUCGGCUCAUCACAUCCUGGGGCUGAAGUAGGUCCCAAGGGUAUGGCUGUUCGCCAUUUAAAGUGGUACGCGAGCUGGGUUUAGAACGUCGUGAGAC
rnacentral:rRNA from 1 species